rnacentral:rRNA from 1 species
CAGCAGCCGCGGUAAUACAGAGGGUGCAAGCGUUAAUCGGAAUUACUGGGCGUAAAGCGCGCGUAGGUGGUUUGUUAAGUUGGAUGUGAAAUCCCCGGGCUCAACCUGGGAACUGCAUCCAAAACUGGCAAGCUAGAGUAUGGUAGGGGGUGGUGGAAUUUCCUGUGUAGCGGUGAAAUGCGUAGAUAUAGGAAGGAACACCAGUGGCGAAGGCGACCACCUGGACUGAUACUGACACUGAGGUGCGAAAGCGUGGGGAGCAAACAGGAUUAGAUACCCGAGUAGUCCCUGUCUCUUAUAC